CAUUGAAACUCCGGUUCCCGUACGAUCACCAAAGUUAAGAAACGUUGAGCCUAGUCAGUACCUAGAUGGGUAACCACUUGGAAUACCAGGUGCUGCAGG
rnacentral:rRNA from 1 species